rnacentral:rRNA from 1 species
CAGUAGCCGCGGUAAAACGUAGGGUGCAAGCGUUAAUCGGAAUUACUGGGCGUAAAGCGUGCGCAGGCGGUUUGUUAAGACAGAUGUGAAAUCCCCGGGCUCAACCUGGGAACUGCAUUUGUGACUGGCAAGCUAGAGUGUGGCAGAGGGGGGUGGAAUUCCGCGUGUAGCAGUGAAAUGCGUAGAUAUGCGGAGGAACACCGAUGGCGAAGGCAGCCCCCUGGGCCAACACUGACGCUCAUGCACGAAAGCGUGGGGAACAAACAGGAUUAGAUACCCGAGUAGUCCCUGUCUCUUAUAC